rnacentral:rRNA from 1 species
AGUGAACGCUGGCGGUAGGCCUAACACAUGCAAGUCGAACGGCAGCACAGUAAGAGCUUGCUCUUACGGGUGGCGAGUGGCGGACGGGUGAGGAAUACAUCGGAAUCUACUUUUUCGUGGGGGAUAACGUAGGGAAACUUACGCUAACACCGCAUACGACCUACGGGUGAAAGCAGGGGAUCUUCGUACCUUGCUCGAUUGAAUGAGCCGAUGUCGGAUUAGCUAGUUGGCGGGGUAAAGGCCCACCAAGGCGACGAUCCGUAGCUGGUCUGAGAGGAUGAUCAGACACACUGGAACUGAGACACGGUCCAGACUCCUACGGGAGGCAGCAGUGGGGAAUAUUGGACAAUGGGAGCAAGCCUGAUCCAGCCAUACCGCGUGGGUGAAGAAGGCCUUCGGGUUGUAAAGCCCUUUUGUUGGGAAAGAAAAGCAGCAGGUUAAUACCCAGAUGUUCUGACGGUACCCAAAGAAUAAGCACCGGCUAACUUCGUG